UACGUAGGGGGCAAGCGUUGUCCGGAUUUAUUGGGCGUAAAGCGCGUGUAGGCGGUUCGGUAAGUCCGCUGUGAAAGUCGGGGGCUCAACCCUCGGAUGCCGGUGGAUACUGUCGGACUAGAGUACGGAAGAGGCGAGUGGAAUUCCUGGUGUAGCGGUGAAAUGCGCAGAUAUCAGGAGGAACACCGAGUGCGAAGGCAGCUCGCUGGGACGUUACUGACGCUGAGACGCGAAAGCGUGGGGAGCAAACAGG
rnacentral:rRNA from 1 species